rnacentral:rRNA from 1 species
UUACCGAACCGUCGGCAUCCCAUCCAGGAGGCAGCAGGCACGCAAAUUACCCACUCCCGGCACGGGGAGGUAGUGACGAAAAAUAACAAGCUGGUCUCAAUGAGUUCCGGCAUUGUAAUGGGAACAAUUUAAAUCAUUUAUCGAGGAUCUAUUGGAGGGCAAGUCUGGUGCCAGCAGCCGCGGUAAUUCCAGCUCCAAUAGCGUAUAUUAAAGUCGUUGCGGUUAAAAAGCUCGUAGUUGGAUCUAGGAUUAGGGCUACGGUCGUUCAACUGGACGCACUGUAUGCCCGACUCCUUUUCUCUAGUAUUCGAUUGUUGCUCUUAAAUGAGUGACUUUAGUUGCUGGAACUUUUACCUUGAAAAAAUUGAAGUGCUCAAAGCAGGUUUUGCCUGAACAUUGCUGCAUGGGAUAAUAGAAUAGGAUUUUGGUCCUAUUUCUGUUGGGUUUCGGGACACGAAAUUAUGAUUAAUAGGGACAGACGGGGGCAUUCCUAUUGCUGCGUUAGAGUGAAAUUCUUGGAUCGCAGCAAGACGAACUACUGCCAAAACAUAUGCCAUGAUGUUUUAUUAAUCAUAAAAAAAAUUUGAGGUUCUAGGCGGCAGAUACCGCCCUCCUUCUAACCGUAAACAAGGCAG